UUUCGUUCAUUAUUCAUUCACUGUUAAGAUGAUGAAUGUUUAUUUUGGGAUUUAACAAGAAGAAAGACCUUACCUAAAAAGAAAAUGAAGAGUCUUCCAUAGAUAAGUAGUGUGAUCUUUUGGAGCAAAACCCUGGGGCUCUGGAUUGGGGCUCCAACAGUCUCUGAGACACAGAAUACACGGUGGGAUCAAUACAAAUUUAGGACCUCUGUCUCUCCACCUGAAAAAUACAAAUAAUAAUGAAUGACAAUGGUUUCCACCAAGUAACUGCUGAGUAAUUAAAAAUUCAUGCCAAUUAAAAACUACAGGAAGAACAAAAAGUAAAAUACACAUACAAUGCAUAGCACAGAAUGCCUUGUAAUCACACAUAUAUACCUUUGCAAUAUACUUGAAAUUAGAGGUUUUAACUUCUAAUUUUCCAUAAAACAUUAGUUGCACACUACAAAGGAAGGUAAACAUGUGAAGCUAGAUCAACCAUGAAAAUAAGAGCAAGUUUAUUUGAUUGGGGGAGAAGGAAAUUAGGAGAGGCCAACUGAGAAUCAGAGAGGCUGAAUGAAAGGCUGAACCAUCUCUGAUUUGCCUCUCUGCUCCCUUGGUUGGGGAGGGAUGGUCAGGCAUGAUUGCUGUAUCCUAUUAAGAGCCUACUAUCCAAAGAUGCUUGGCUUCUAUUAGUCCUGCUGUGCUCAGUGGGAAAUAACCAUGGGACUGUGGUAAAGUGUGGGGUAGUGGUGGCAGAGGGGAGUGGGGGGAGUAUUCCACCAAAGAACAUGAAUUACCCUACAUACAGGUUUUGAAAUCAUGGACAAGGCCAAGGGGCAUCUUAUCUGUGAAGGACUAGUUCAGUUUCACUGAGGAGCCCCAGAAAAUGAAACUUGACAUUGCAAUCUUCCUCUGCAGUCAGUAGAUUCCUAUGCUUCCAGGAGCUGCAGUGAGGUUAGUUGAUGUCUGUGAAAGGAGUGCACACGGGGUAGUACAACCCUAUAGAAAAUCUCCUCAAAUGGAAAUCUGCUCAUAUCAACCCUUGUUAAGAUCCAGAGAAACACAUUUCUAAGUGGAAAGAAAAUCAUGGAUGAAACUAUGAGAAAAAGUCAUUGGCUACAAUUAAAAUGUGUCACAAACACAUUGAGUGUUGACACUAAAAUAGCUUUGUUAUUAAAAUUUGAACUAUGCCACAAUUAAAAUGUAUCACAAACAUCAUUAAGUUUUGACCCUGAAAUAGCUGUGUUAUUAAAAUUUUAAAAAUAUUGGUUAUGUCUAUACCAUUUAGAUUAUUUCUUGUGUUGAGUUCAAGUAGAUAGAUAUGCUAAUAGAAUGGAGAAUAGUUUUCCAAUUCUACUGAUCUACAUUCCAGAUUCUAAUACUGACUCUACUUCCACUUUAUCAUGAGACCUUAUGGACAUUCUUACUUUGUCUGGGUUCUUCUUUUUAAUACUUGUUCCACUUUCCAUUAGCCACUGAAUGGCAAAAACACUGAAAUGCUGAGAAUUGAAAAUCACUAUGCAACUAUCUUUAAUAAGGAAUCCUAUUAAGCCCAGUAGUAUCACUUUUAAUCCUGAUAACAAAACAACUGAGAAAGGCAGAACGAUUCCCUAUUAUUCA
rnacentral:lncRNA from 1 species